ensembl:lncRNA
AUGAGGAUGGGCUGCAGGGAUCCCAAAUCCAUGGAUGGGAUAAGGACAGGCUGUAGGGAUCCCAAAUCCAUGGAUGGGAGGAGGACAGACUGCAGGGAUCCCAACCCCCUCCUGCUCGUGCACCAACACCAGAAACCCCAAACCACUCUGGCCCUGGGGUCAUUCCUUCCCUGCUUCUCCAUCGCUCCCAAACCACUCGGAAAAGGCAACUUUCACCUGCUCCAACCACCUGCGACAUUCCCGAGGCUCCCAGCCCGCUCCUCAAGGACACAGAGGGGACACAAGGGGGGUUUAGGCCAGGAAGGAACUGCCAACUCUUUAAUGGUGGGUGGCGGGGCCGCCGGCACAGCCCGGAUACAGCGCGGAACAGCCCCGGCCCGGCGCACGCUCCGGCUCCGGCCGCUCCUCCUGCCCUCCCUCGGGGCCUGGAGCUCCUCCAAGGACUCCUCACAUCCGGCUCGGGGUCAUCCCGGUGUCUCACGGUGUGUCCGGAGGGCGGCAGCUCCGGCAGGGAUCCUCUUCCCCACGCGGAGACCCCGGGAAUGGCCCUCUGGAUCUCCCCUCUGGAUCUCCCCUCUGGAUCUCCCCUCUGGAUCUUCGCCCCGGCGCGUCCCGGGUGGCUCCAGGGGGUGGGAAGGGGCCGCCACGGCAGGAAGGGGCCGUUUUCUGAGGCAGGUACGAGGUGCUAAACUACUCGGUGUCCAACUCAUUCACAAAGCCGGUGCCUAAAGGGACGUUUGAAAUUCCAGCGGGAGCCGCGUCCUGCUCUUCCUAAGGUUCUGCUUCCGGCGCCCCCGGAGGGGACGUGUGGCACCCCUGGGACGGGCAGGGGUGGGGGGGGACGGGGCCAGCAGGAACCCUCAAAGCCCCUCGGAGCCAGGCUCUCUCCAGGAUCUCCGGGAAAACACCCGUGUGGGUUCCCUGGUGUCGGGGGUUUGUCGACGAGGAAAAAACACAGCUACGAACGCCACAACUUCAGCGGCCAGGGCGGGGAUCAGCUCCUCGGGGCGAAGCACACAAGACAGCGGGACUAAGCUACUCCUUUCCUGUCCCCUCCCGGCGACGACGCUCCUUUCCCACGAGUCCUGGGCCUCUGGAUCCGCCCGGAUGAGUGACAGGUCUCCGUUUGGGCUCCUCUCGGAGCCAGGGAAGGGUUACGGGCGACAGGCACUGAACUGUCACAGCCCGAAGGGGUUGGUGGUCAGCACAGACCAUGGAAGCUCACGUUUGAUCCACUCCAAGUCCUGCCUUCCCGGCAGGAAAAGCCGCUGUACCACUCUCCAGAGCCGAGGGACGAGGCAGGGGAGCAGCCGGAGGUGCCGAGGCGCUCCCGGAGCAGAUCCAGCGGUGCCGACCCCCCUCCAUCCCCUCGGCCUCCGCCGGGAGGAUCCUUUCAUUCCAGCGGAGAAAUCACAGGGAUCAGGCCGUUCCAGCCCGGGAGAAGGUCGGAAUUUGAGAGCCACAAAAGCAACACACCUUUCACUGCAACCCCUGCAGCACCACGGGAGGAGCCUCGUGGGCCAGUCCCGGAGACACGGCCGGGAUGGAGCUGCCAAGGAAUCUGCUCCCAUCAACACCCCCCUCGGCGGCACCCGGGGCUGGUUUGGAAUAUUUGAGGCCCACAAUUAUGGCUGGAUGGGGAGCACCCGGAGGAGUGAACCCCUUGGAAUAGGUCGGCGGUGAAGGGACGGCCCCGGGAGGUCGCAGGGAGCAGAUCCCACUGAUCCACUCGGUGGGAUUUUUUGGGAAAGGAGGGACUGAGGUUCUGCUGCGUGGGCUGCCCGGUCCCACCGCUGCCCCGUGAGCUCGGGGGACAUAAAUAAAAAAAAACAACAACAACA